rnacentral:tRNA from 1 species
UCUUCGGUAGUAUAGUGGUAAGUAUGUCCGCCUGUCACGCGGAAGACCCGGGUUCAAUUCCCGGCCGGAGAGCCA